CUUCAUGUGGUUUAUCACUGAAGCUAAAGAAUUGAGAUACAACAAUCUUUGACUGACUUUAGGUGUGGCGAUCGAAGGUGGACAGCAAGAUCGAAGCUCAGCAAGAUUGAAGAUUGUUCGAGGAAGAAGGAGUUCGCCGUUGACUAAAAGGUUUAUCUGAACAGCUAGUUGUCAAGAUGAAGGUGACUCGCCCGGCCAAAUUCAAAAUGGCGAUGCCAAAGAAAACCAUCCACGUGGACCGUUCGCGGACCUUUCUGAGCAAGAUUGUUGUG
rnacentral:lncRNA from 1 species